ACAUGCCUACAACAUAGCGUUAAUGCACUGGAUCCCAUUAUAACUUCGCAAUUAAGUGCGCUCAGGAUAGAGUAGUACUGGGAUGGGUGACCACCCGAGAAGUCCUACUAUUUUACAUGCC
rfam:Picea glauca, whole genome shotgun sequence.